rnacentral:misc_RNA from 1 species
AAGUCGUAACAAGGUUUCCGUAGGUGAACCUGCGGAAGGAUCAUUAACGAGUUUGAACGGGGUUGUAGCUGGCCUUCCGGGGCAUGUGCACACCUCACUCAUCCAUCUACACCUGUGCACCUAUUGUAGGAGGGCUGCAAAGCCAUUCUACGUUUUUUAUACACACUUCUAGUUCAGAAUGUUCUUGCUAUAAACGCAUUUAAUACAACUUUCAACAACGGAUCUCUUGGCUCUC